rnacentral:rRNA from 1 species
CCUACGGGCGGCAGCAGUGAGGAAUAUUGGUCAAUGGACGCAAGUCUGAACCAGCCAUGCCGCGUGCAGGAAGACGGCUCUAUGAGUUGUAAACUGCUUUUGUACGAGGGUAAACGCAGAUACGCGUAUCUGUCUGAAAGUAUCGUACGAAUAAGGAUCGGCUAACUCCGUGCCAGCAGCCGCGGUAAUACGGAGGAUUCAAGCGUUAUCCGGAUUUAUUGGGUUUAAAGGGUGCGUAGGCGGUCGGAUAAGUUAGAGGUGAAAUCCCGAGGCUCAACUUCGGAAUUGCCUCUGAUACUGUUCGGCUAGAGAGUAGUUGCGGUAGGCGGAAUGUAUGGUGUAGCGGUGAAAUGCUUAGAGAUCAUGCAGAACACCGAUUGCGAAGGCAGCUUACCAAGGUACUUCUGACGUUGAGGCACGAAAGCGUGGGGAGCGAACAGGAUUAGAUACCCGAGUAGUC